rnacentral:rRNA from 1 species
GGCGUGCUUAACACAUGCAAGUCGAACGAUGAUGCCCAGCUUGCUGGGUGGAUUAGUGGCGAACGGGUGAGUAACACGUGAGUAACCUGCCCCUGACUCUGGGAUAAGCGUUGGAAACGACGUCUAAUACUGGAUAUGACUACCGGCCGCAUGGUCUGGUGGUGGAAAGAUUUUUUGGUUGGGGAUGGACUCGCGGCCUAUCAGCUUGUUGGUGAGGUAAUGGCUCACCAAGGCGACGACGGGUAGCCGGCCUGAGAGGGUGACCGGCCACACUGGGACUGAGACACGGCCCAGACUCCUACGGGAGGCAGCAGUGGGGAAUAUUGCACAAUGGGCGAAAGCCUGAUGCAGCAACGCCGCGUGAGGGAUGACGGCCUUCGGGUUGUAAACCUCUUUUAGUAGGGAAGAAGCGACUGAGUUUACUCUGAGUGAC